GGACGAACGCUGGCGGCGUGCCUAACACAUGCAAGUCGAGCGAAGUACUUACGACUGAUUCCUUCGGGAUGACGAUGUAAGUAUCUUAGCGGCGGACGGGUGAGUAACGCGUGAGAAACCUGCCUUUCACAAGGGGAUAGCCUCGGGAAACUGGGAUUAAUACCCUACGAAACUGUAGCACCACAUGGUGCAUCAGUCAAAGCGUAAAGCGGUGAAAGAUGGUCUCGCGUCCCAUUAGCUAGUUGGUGAGAUAAAAGCCCCACCAAGGCAACGAUGGGUAGCCGGCCUGAGAGGGUGAACGGCCACACUGGAACUGAGACACGGUCCAGACUCCUACGGGAGGCAGCAGUGGGGAAUAUUGCACAAUGGAGGAAAAACCUCUGAUGCAGCGACGCCGCGUGAACGAUGAAGGCCUUCGGGUCGUAAAGUUCUGUCCUUGGGGAAGAUAAUGACGGUACCCGAGGAGGAAGCCCCGGCUAACUACGUGCCAGCCGCUGC
rnacentral:rRNA from 1 species